rnacentral:rRNA from 1 species
AUUGACGGGGACCGCACAAGCGGCGGAGCAUGCGGAUUAAUUCGAUGCAACGCGAAGAACCUUACCAAGGCUUGACAUAUACCAGAACGGGCCAGAAAUGGUCAACUCUUUGGACACUCGUAAACAGGUGGUGCAUGGUUGUCGUCAGCUCGUGUCGUGAGAUGUUGGGUUAAGUCCCGCAACGAGCGCAACCCUCGUUCUAUGUUGCCAGCACGUAAUGGUGGGAACUCAUGGGAUACUGCCGGGGUCAACUCGGAAGAAGGUGGGGAUGACGUCAAAUCAUCAUGCCCCUUAUGUCUUGGGCUUCACCCAUGCUACAAUGGCCGGUACAAAGGGCUGCAAUACCGCGAGGUGGAACGAAUCCCAAAAAGCCGGUCCCAGUUCGGAUUGAGGUCUGCAACUCGACCUCAUGAAAUCGGAGUCUCUAGUAAUCGCAGAUCACCAACGCUGCGGUGAAUACGUUCCCGGGUCUUGUACCCCCCCCCCCUUAAAAUC